AAAAUUAGGCUUUUUAAUAUAUUAAGCUUAAAUGAAGUACUUAGCAAAGCGUAAAGCGCGAAGGUGUUCAUGGGAAGAUUGCGCCCUGGGGAGCGCCUGGCAGAUCUUGUUCGAUUUCUUGCAAUAAAAGUCGAUUUCUUGCAAAUCAUCUAAAUUCACGUCGUUUCGCAACUUUUUCCGCUUUUAUUCGCUUUUAUUCACAAAAUAAUAUCUCCUUCAUUACAAUAAACAUUCAUUCGCCAUGUGAGAAGUGGUAAAUAUUUUUAUCUGAUGCCCUGAAGCAGCGAUAUGUCAUCAUUUGAAGAGGUCGACAAUGUUUUGGAUAGAUUAAAUCUUCAAGACGAACCAAGAGCUGCUCGUCGAUCAGCACGACGUAUUGCAUGCAAUUUUCAACGACCCUCAUCGCCGGAUGCUUCACAAGGUCAAAGCUUAAAACACGACUUGACGCCAAAGUCGAAAAGUGCGGGCCUGCCAAAAAGUAAACGUACUCACGUUUCAAUUCUUCCACUACCGGGAAAUUUAUAUAUUCAAUUCCAAAAAACAUAAUUAAUCUGGAAAGUUCUGGCAAGUGAGAAUUGAAGCCAUGCACAUGGUGGUUAGAAUUGAACAAAUCAAUCAUAUUCAUUCGGCGAAUAUUAAAGAGAAGAAAAAUCUAAUAUUAAUUGACUUUAGAUUUUGUAAUAUAA